UGAGGAACAUGACCUUCGGCGGGGGAUAGCCGGCCCAACGGCCGGGUAAUACCGCGUACGACCACAUGGGGACAUCCCUGAGUGGCGAAAGCAGCAAUGCGCCGAUGGAGUGCCUCGCGGCCUAUCAGCUAGUUGGUGAGGUAACGGCUCACCAAGGCGACGACGGGUAGCUGGUCUGAGAGGAUGGCCAGCCACAUUGGGACUGAGACACGGCCCAGACUCUAGUGGG
rnacentral:rRNA from 1 species